rnacentral:rRNA from 1 species
CGAACGUUAGCGGCGGGCCUAACACAUGCAAGUCGAACGAGAAAGUCCUUCGGGGCGAGUAUAGUGGCGCACGGGUGAGGAACGCGUAGGUAAUCUACCCUCAGGCGGGGGACAACAUUCCGAAAGGAAUGCUAAUACCGCAUAUGACCACGCUCACUACGGUGAAAGUGGUAAAAGGCGCCUCAAAGCGCCACCAGAGGAUGAGCCUGCGUCCCAUCAGCUUGUUGGUAAGGUAACGGCUUACCAAGGCUAAGACGGGUAGCUGGUCUGAGAGGAUGAUCAGCCACACUGGCACUGGAACACGGGCCAGACUCCUACGGGAGGCAGCAGUGAGGAAUAUUGGGCAAUGGGCGAAAGCCUGACCCAGCCACGCCGCGUGUGUGAUGAAGGCCUUCGGGUCGUAAAGCACUGUGGGGAGAGACGAAACAGCGCAUCAGGAAAUGGUUGCGCCUUGACGGUACCUCCUUAGCAAGCACCGGCUAACUCU